AUAUAAUAGACACAAGAUAGGGUGUCUAGAGAGAGAAAUGAGAAGAAGAAGAGGGUCUUCUUCUAGGGUUGUUUGUUUUCAUAUCUUUCCUCCCUCCAUCUUGAGUUUCCUGAGAGUGUCUCAGAUCUAAAACUCCUCCUCCUACUUUUCAUCUUUGAAAGAGUCCAAAUCAAGAAGAAGGAGGCACCUGAUCAACCAUCAAAGAAGGAUCAGCGCAGUACUAGCAUACUGUGCUGAUUUCCUGAAGCAGGACUUCCGAUCGAGAUUCGUGGUUUCGUGUGGACGACUCCUAGAGGCCGGAUGCAUGUGCGGCUUGCAACAUCAUCCUCAAGCCCAGAUCAACGAGGUUAGAACAUCUAACUUGCAAGGUAAUAGAUCUGAUAUGUUGUUUAAUACAUACAUUAGAUGUAGUAUAGAAACAUGUUGAUAUGAUCAACAUGUAGUUCAUGCUGUAUAUAUAUAUGUUAAUUUUUGAUUUAAUGCUAUGUAAUAAUCAUGUAAUAGGAUCUUAGAUCUAGAGAUUCUC
rnacentral:lncRNA from 1 species